CAGGUUUUUAUGGGAGAGGAAGAAGUGGGGAGUAUGAAGACCCCAGGAAAAGAGUUUUUAAAGAGGAGGAGAUCCAAUUUCACACCUUUGAGUAGUCCAGCUCUGGAAUCCAGUAGAGGAUUUUUGGAAGAUUCACCAAGAUCCAUCUUUCCUUUUCCUUCUAUUCUUUCCAAAUAGGUAAAGGAGUAGCUGAGGGAAAUGCAGCUUUGUGAGGGAAGCCUGGAGCGUGAGAAAUCUGCUCACACUGGAUUCUGUCUCGGGCUCGACAGAGGCUGUCACAGCAGACCCGCGAUGUGACAGGCUCACUGGUGUACACACGGCUGUGUCGGCCAUGGCCCUGUCAGGCAACACACUGGUUUGGCAUCUAGCGGGUUGUGCUUGCAGAACAGCAGGCUGGCUCCGUGCACCUGCUCAGUGGGGCUGGGCCUUAGCAACCUGCAUUGAGGCUGCUCUUCCUUAACCUUUCUCUAACUGGCUUCAUGAAAGUUAAUUCUGCUGGGACCCCACGAGGCAGCAGAGAGCCCACUCUGCCCAUGAUUGGUGCCCUGGGCUGGCACGCAGAGUUUAAUGGAGGAGCCCGGGAGAGAGGGAUGCCUGAGAACCAGGGAUGUGGGCUGGAGCAGUGCCACCUCCUCUAACUCACCCGCGAGCCCAGCCAACCUGCUAAACCUUCCCAUUACCUGGCACUUGUCCAGUCUUUCUGCAGUCAACAUCGCCCAGAUUCCAUGCAGAACCCUUUGCAGACUCCUGAGGGGGAUCAGGACAGCAUAGUGUGUCCUCUGUCUUGAGAA
rnacentral:lncRNA from 1 species